CUUUUCUGAUAGGCAUUCAUUAUCUUAAAAUGCAGAAAUAUAAUAUUUUAGGUAUACUGAAUAACAGUUGGGUGCAAUUACAGAAGCAUUCCAAGUCUCUCAUGGUAGGGCUGUGAACCCAACAAUAAGGUCUUUCUCAGCUUAAAAUGGGGCAGACUUUUGCUUUUGCAGCAUGUUCAGUCAUAUAAUAAAUGAGAGGAGAAAUAGGAAAUCGAAUGGUGGAAUGGAAGGCAGGAAAUGGUUGAAUGAAAAAGCAGAUGGGUCCAUGGGCACUGUUCUCAUUGGCUAUACCAUGCUUUAUUGAAGGUGAACAGCAACCCAUUAGACCAAGCAUUCCAAAGUCGUCUAUGGUCUAACGUAGAAAGGAAGGAAACAAUAGGAUUGGUGGUUGGUACACAAUAGAAGCACGCAAACGCAACCAUUAGUCUGGCUCACUUAUUUUAUUGACAAUCCUCCUGGGGCUGCAACCAAUGUAACAAUGAAAACACUACUAGUUCCCUAACCUAAGAUCAAGCGCUUGCAUGUGACCAUUAUACCAAUCAUGGCAAAAAAAACAACAUUAAUAUGCAGAGGAUAACGCAUUUUGAUUGAUAAAACAUUCUCUCUGCUAAAUCAUUCUUGCUUUGACAAACAUCAUAUGAAAAAGGGGGAAAAGGAGUACACAAAUAAAUGCAUUUUGAGCUUGAUAAUCAAUUCAUAAUGCAAUAAAAGAUGCUUGACAAGUAUCCAGUCCACAAUAUAGUAAGAAAAUAAUAUUCUCGGGAUUUACAGUGUUUCUUAAACAGUCAUCCUACUGCAAAAGGUACCCUAAUUAUAUAAACAUCACCAUAAAAUAACUCUAGACACAACAAGAGAACCAAAACCAUCCAUAAUGUUAGUGUUUACAUUGGAUUCAAUGUCUUGGUACAAUAUUUGAGAGAAUGGAACGAGUUAUUAAAUAGGGCUCUAAAUUAUGGCAUUGGUUGAAGGAGAGUAGAUGUUUACUCAGUGCCUUGCAUAGGAACCAUCAUGUGCUGGACUUGAGAAUUUGCGUAAUUGACACCUUGUGAGAAAGAUCCUUGAUGAGAAAUCUGCAAGGUUCAUAGGCCAAAUGUCCUCACAUAAGAUGAUAUGUCUUGCAUAUGAACUUGACUGUAUAAAAAAACCAAGUAUUGACAAAAAUGAGAAAAAGAAGAAACUCCAUGAAAUAGAGCUUCAUUUCACCUGGACAUUUGGAUUCGGUUGAAAGUCCUUUUUAAAUGACGUUUCACCGCCCUUUGCUGAUCCCUUGGUGUCACCCCGUCAAACACCACAAUUUACCGAUCCCAGUGUUCAAAAAUCAAAUUUUACAAAAAAGAAAAAAUCAAUUUUAAAAAGAAAGAAAGAAUUUGUAUUUAUAUGGAAAAGAAUAUCAACAUACCUCCAUCUGCAUCAUCCGUUCAGCCAAUAAAAUAACAAGAAAAAUAAAACAAUUAGUACCUAAAAUCUUUUAUAAUAAUUUCAUUGUUGGGGAAUUAAACAAGACAAAUCAGAUUCAGAAAUCAAUAGCCCGUAUCAAAUAAACAACAAAUGAAAACAGAAUCCCAAAACUACUUUGGUACGACCAUUUUCAUGUUAUUAUAAACUAAAACCACAAAAAUGUGCUGCCAGAGUCAUUCAAAUAGGUGAAAAGAGAGAGAGUGAAGUUCAAGUUGACCUCUCUGUAUCGAGUCAAGUAAAUCUUAAGCGGAUCGAUGUAAUCCUCAAACCCUAACGUCGACAUGGCCCACAGUAAAUCAUCACCAUUGAGCGUCUUUCUUUUCUCCCUCUGGCACUUAUCACCCGCCCUACAAAUUAAUCAACCAUCAAAUCUCCAAAAUUGACCAAAACUUUCUCUUAUUUCACUAACAAGCACAAACUGAACUUUUAAAAAAUCAUGACAGAGAGCAGGGUGGUCAUGAUGAUAUUAGCGGAAUUUGUAAGCUAUGUAAUGACCACUUCCUAUGCUUGAAUGGCAAUCCCAAACAAUUGCGCGCGCCAGCAGCAUCAAGCAACAUACCCUUUAAUAUCUAAGCAACUACUGUAGAGUAGUGUAGUUUCAUUUCAGCAUCCUAAAAAGAGGGAAUGAUCCGACCCAUUAGACGAAGAAGCUUAUAAUAUCUGAAAUCUUUCUCGUCACACUUGCAUUUUCUCAAGCUUCCUCGUGCAUAAAACUAAGCUUUUCAGCAACUUCUAUUCCGGCCUUAAGAGACUUGUUCUCACUUUUAAGCUUCACGCAUGUUGGAGUUGAUGAGUUUUUGGUGAAUAUUAAGUGGAGAAAUAUGUGUGCAAGACAUUAUAAAAGCCAUAUCUAAGCAUAGGGUAAGAAUGGCAUUUUAUUAACUUGAAGAAGGCAUUCCUUUGCUUAUAAAAAAGAAGAGUGCUGGAGAGUGUGCAGAGAGAAAAGAGUGAAAGCUGAAAAGAGAGUUUGAGGGAGCCAAGAAAAUGAGAAAAAAAAAAAAAUCUUUGUAUU
rnacentral:misc_RNA from 1 species